ACUACCUGACCAUGAGGUGGAUGAAAAACUUAUACCAAGGGACCAACCCUGCUCAAAACUAACCAUUUUGAAGAAGUUGCUCAAGGUCAAGACACAUCAGAUGGAGUUGACACCUUCUCUGAAGAAACUGCAUAAGCUUAUGCGUUCCCCAUCCCCAACAGGAGCCGUGGACAAAUCCACUCACUUGGUCACAGAGAAGCACCUUCUGUAUGAUGUCAUCUCUAAGCUGAUAAAGGCUCAGGAGGAGUCAGACACGAUUAAAGAUUACCUGCAGCAUCCAGAGAAGUCACAAUGUGAGACCCCUGAUAUGUUGA